UACGAAGGGGGCUAGCGUUGCUCGGAUUCACUGGGCGUAAAGGGUGCGUAGGCGGGUCUUUAAGUCAGGGGUGAAAUCCUGGAGCUCAACUCCAGAACUGCCUUUGAUACUGAAGAUCUUGAGUUCGGGAGAGGUGAGUGGAACUGCGAGUGUAGAGGUGAGAUUCGUAGAUAUUCGCAAGAACACCAGUGGCGAAGGCGGCUCACUGGCCCGAUACUGACGCUGAGGCACGAAAGCGUGGGGAGCAAACAGG
rnacentral:rRNA from 1 species